rnacentral:rRNA from 1 species
GUGUACACAAGAUAGAGCUCACAUCAAGUUUUCUUAAACUUUACAAUUAAAUCCACCUUCAAAAGAUAUUUCAUAAACUUUAUUUGUAUUAAUCUAAUAAAUGUAACCCACCUCUAUCUUUCUCAUAAGCUGCACCUUUACUUGAAGUCUAUGAUUUUUUCAUGAUAGAAAGUUUUCUAAAGAAACUGACUGACAACAGCGGUAUACAAACUGAUUACCAGAAAAAGUAAAGUUUUCGUGGACCAUCGUUUAUAGGGCAGGUUCCUCUAAAUGGCUAUCUUGCCGCCAAAUCCGUUAAAUUUCAUCAUUAUUACUAUUCCAAAAUUUAUUAUUUAUGAGUA